rnacentral:rRNA from 1 species
GUGGGGAAUAUUGGGCAAUGGGCGAAAGCCUGACCCAGCAACGCCGCGUGAAGGAAGAAGGCUUUCGGGUUGUAAACUUCUUUUGGCAGGGACGAAAAAAAUGACGGUACCUGCAGAAUAAGCUCCGGCUAACUACGUGCCAGCAGCCGCGGUAAUACGUAGGGAGCAAGCGUUAUCCGGAUUUACUGGGUGUAAAGGGAGCGUAGGCGGGAAUGCAAGUCAGAUGUGAAAUCUGGAGGCUCAACCUCCAAGCUGCAUUUGAAACUGUGUUUCUUGAGUGAUGGAGAGGCAAGUGGAAUUCCUAGUGUAGCGGUGAAAUGCGUAGAUAUUAGGAGGAACACCAGUGGCGAAGGCGACUUGCUGGACAUUAACUGACGCUGAGGCUCGAAAGCGUGGGGAGCAAACAGGAUUAGAUACCCGAGUAGUCC